CCGGUGGAGAGCUGCGGGCGGCGGCGAGGCCCCGAGCGGCGACCUCCAGCGCGGCGACCCCGGCCCGCAGCCCCCGACGGAGCCCCAUCCCCAUCCCGGGGGAUCUCGGGGCCGAUCUCCACCUGCCCCUCGUCCCGCGGCAGGUUCACCUCUGCCCGCACGGCGCCCGAGGGGGGGUCCCGCUGACCAUUGAACGGGCAACGGGGACUGAAAUUUAAACCCAAUUUGGACUUUGCUUCCUCGCCGCCGUGGAAAACUGCUGACGGCAGCUUUGGCUAAAGUGGGGUUUGCUUGUGUUUUUUUUUUUUUUUUCAAUUUCCCCCCCACCCCACAAAGAAAAAGUGGAGCCUUUCAUUGCCUCGGAGAGAAUCUCCCCAUUCCGGGACGGUUCUCCCGCGGACGCCUCGCUCUCUGCUCCGGGGGCAGACGCGGGGCCCGGCCCCUCUGGGCCUGGAGCAGCCGUGUCCCCGCGGGGAAGGGUCGCCUGUCCUCCUGGCCACUGGCCGGCACCCCGCCCGCGCCCCCGCACCGCUGUAACGCCGCAGGCGGUCCUGCCUGUAGAAUAAAACCGAUCCAGAGCA